UACGUAGGGUGCGAGCGUUGUCCGGAAUUACUGGGCGUAAAGAGCUCGUAGGUGGUUUGUCGCGUUGUUCGUGAAAACUUACAGCUUAACUGUGGGCGUGCGGGCGAUACGGGCAGACUGGAGUACUGCAGGGGAGACUGGAAUUCCUGGUGUAGCGGUGAAAUGCGCAGAUAUCAGGAGGAACACCGAUGGCGAAGGCAGGUCUCUGGGCCAUAACUGACGCUGAGAAGCGAAAGCAUGGGGAGCGAACAGG
rnacentral:rRNA from 1 species